rnacentral:rRNA from 1 species
AUUGAACGCUGGCGGCAUGCUUUACACAUGCAAGUCGAACGGUAACAGGCCGCAAGGUGCUGACGAGUGGCGAACGGGUGAGUAAUGCAUCGGAACGUGCCCAGUCGUGGGGGAUAACGCAGCGAAAGCUGUGCUAAUACCGCAUACGAUCUAUGGAUGCAAGAGGGGGACCGUAAGGCCUCUCGCGAUUGGAGCGGCCGAUGUCAGAUUAGGUAGUUGGUGGGGUAAAGGCCUACCAAGCCGACGAUCUGUAGCUGGUCUGAGAGGACGACCAGCCACACUGGGACUGAGACACGGCCCAGACUCCUACGGGAGGCAGCAGUGGGGAAUUUUGGACAAUGGGCGCAAGCCUGAUCCAGCAAUGCCGCGUGCAGGAAGAAGGCCUUCGGGUUGUAAACUGCUUUUGUACGGAACGAAACGGUCUGGGUUAAUACCCUGGACUAAUGACGGUACCGUAAGAAUAAGCACCGGCUAACUACGUGCCAGCCGCCGCCGUAAGAC